ACUAUCCAGCUAGCUCAAACAUUUAACUUCUAACACAAUAAUCUAAAACAUUCACCAGAAUAGUAUAGGCGAUAGAAACACACUUUGAAGCAAUAGAAAAAGUACCGCAAGGGAAAGCUGAAAAAGAAAUUAAACAAACCAUAAAAGUAUAAAAAAGCAGGGCUCAGCCCCCGUACCUUUUGCAUCAUGAUCUAGCAAGUUAAACCGAGGCAAAAAGACCUUUAGUCCCUCCCCCCGAAACUAGAUGAGCUAUUUAAGAGCAGCUAUACGAGCAAACCCGUCUAUGUGGCAAAAUAGUGGGAAGACUCCUAAAUAGAGGUGACAAACCAAACGAAUCUAGUGAUAGCUGGUUACUCAACAAACAAGUCUUAGCUUGACCUUAAACCUUAUCACAAUAACAAAAAUAUUGAUUAAAGUUCAAGAGUUAUUCACAAGAGGUACAGCUCUUAUGAAAAAGGAGACAACCUACAAACUGGGUAAUGAUCAUAAUACUCCACUCACAUCCUAGUAGGCUUAAAAGCAGCCAUCUACAAGAAAGCGUCACAGCUCACACCCUCCAAAAUUCUAAUAAAACAUCAAAACCCGCAACAAUUAAUUGAGCUAAACUAUACAAAUAGAUAAAUUAAUACUAGAAUUAGUAAUAAGAAAACACGAUUUUCUCUGUGCGAACCCAUAAAUCAGACCGAACCAAUCCCUGAUAAUAACCGACCCUCCCUUAAUGGGAAUAAAUACCAAUAAUAAACAAGAAAAACACUAAACACGAACUCGUUAACCCUACACAGGCUCGCAACAAGAAAGACAAAAAGACAAAGAAGGAACUCAGCAAACACAAACCCCGCCUGUUUACCAAAAACAUCGCCUCUAGCUCAACCCGAUAUUAGAGGUACUGCCUGCCCAGUGAUAAUAUUCAACGGCCGCGGUAUUUUGACCGUGCAAAGGUAGCAUAAUCACUUGUCUUCUAAAUAAAGACUAGUAUGAACGGCAAGACGAAGGCCUAACUGUCUCCUUUGUCCCCUCAAUGAAAUUGAUCUCACAGUACAAAAGCUGUGAUCAAACAACAAGACGAGAAGACCCUAUGGAGCUUAAAACACACUAGAAAGUGCAACAAUAUUUUACAAUCUCCAAUACUAAUUCCACACUGUUUUUGGUUGGGGCGACCACGGAGAACACUAACCCUCCGAGAUGACAUGCCAGGAAAACAAUCCAAAACAUCAGAAAACUGACAUAAUUGACCCAAUAACUUUGAUCAACGAACCAAGUUACCCUAGGGAUAACAGCGCAAUCCUCUUCAAGAGCCCAUAUCGACAAGAGGGCUUACGACCUCGAUGUUGGAUCAGGAUAACCUGACAGUGCAACAGCCGUCAAAGGUUUGUUUGUUCAACAAUUAAAAUCCUACGUGAUCUGAGUUCAGACCGGAGCAAUCCAGGUCAGUUUCUAUCUGUUAUGUAAUUUUUUCUAGUACGAAAGGACCGAAAAAACAUGGCCAAUACAACAUGUACGCCAUCAAAAAACUAAUGAAAUCAACUAAACUAAACAAAACACAACACACCUCAAAACAAGAGGCU
rnacentral:rRNA from 2 species